AUCAGUUACCAGCCGUUAGCCAAUCAGAGUGGGGCUUUCAUGUGAGCGCUGCUGCCUGCACUUGUGUGUAAGUCGCCCUGGAGCAGCCGGACCUGUGUCAUGGGGCAGAAUCAGAGAGCAGCUUUCAUUCAGAGGGACCCUGAUGGGGAAGGAGAUCUCCCGGCCCAUUCACUUUGCAUCUACUAUUCUAUCUGUACAUGUCCAACCGCCCAAGGAUCUCUGGGUACCAUGUCGUAUCCAUGGGGGACACCGCCGGCAACAAUCCCUCAUUUCUAUCCUUUCCCAACAGCUGGACAAUAGUGAGGAGGAACCGGAGUGGAGCUGAAGAUCCGCCAAGCGGGAGACUAUGGUUCUGGUUCCUCCAACCUCUGGAGCAGAAUUCGUCAACUCUUAAGC